rnacentral:rRNA from 1 species
CGAGUCUUAAUUGGGCGUUAAGUUGCAGGGUAUAGACCCGAAACCCGGUGAUCUAGCCAUGGGCAGGUUGAAGGUUGGGUAACACUAACUGGAGGACCGAACCGACUAAUGUUGAAAAAUUAGCGGAUGACCUGUGGCUGGGGGUGAAAGGCCAAUCAAACCGGGAGAUAGCUGGUUCUCCCCGAAAGCUAUUUAGGUAGCGCCUCGUGAAUUCAUCUCCGGGGGUAGAGCACUGUUUCGGCUAGGGGGCCAUCCCGGCUUACCAACCCGAUGCAAACUGCGAAUACCGGAGAAUGUUAUCACGGGAGACACACGGCGGGUGCUAACGUCCGUCGUGAAGAGGGAAACAACCCAGACCGCCAGCUAAGGUCCCAAAGUCAUGGUUAAGUGGGAAACGAUGUGGGAAGGCCCAGACAGCCAGGAUGUUGGCUUAGAAGCAGCCAUCAUUUAAAGAAAGCGUAAUAGCUCACUGGUCGAGUCGGCCUGCGCGGAAGAUGUAACGGGGCUAAACCAUGCACCGAAGCUGCGGCAGCGAACGUAUCACCCAAGACAACUUUA